UCUCUCGCUCGAAACCCUUCCCAGGCCCGCAGACCCGCCGACCCGACCCGGACGAAAAUUCCCCUUCCGGCCUCCUCCGGCCCCGGACCCGGACUCCCCUGGGAUCGCCGGCCCACGACGAGCCUCCCUCUGGUGUUUCCUUGCCUCACCGCUGCCCCGAAAGCCGGAUCGAAGUCACCCAGACUCCGAUCGGUGACCCGGCCGGAUUUCUAGUUUUCCGGCGUCCCCUCGGCCG
rnacentral:lncRNA from 1 species